GCACAUACACAUAUAUAUAUAUGGAGUCCGACUACUAUACUCUCAUUAGUAUGAUCGCAUUCGUACUCAUAAAGUCAUUUUUGAUGAUAGAACUUCCGAAUCAAUGAUACCAUUAAAUAUUAUCUAAAAUAUUUGAAAUUUUUAAAAAUCAAAUUUCAUAAUUUUUUGACAUUAUUUACCUUGCGAUCAAAAAAUCUCAAAGUUGAUAACUUUUAACUGCUGAUAUUGAAUAUUUGCUAGUUUUACGGUGCAAAAGAUAUGAAAUCAGUUGAUUUUUUUUAUAGAAAAUUUUAUUCACUGUCUAGAUAAAAUCAAUAACUCCAAUCUUAAAUUAAAGAAUUCAAUCCUCUAAUUUUAGGAGAUUGUUCGAUUUCGACUGUUUANAUUAUACUAUUCAACCAAUCACUCAUUCAAUUCUAAGAGAUUACUAUCAUUCUAACCGGAGACCAUUAUAUUUUAAUCGCAUAUCCUUUUAUUCACUGUCUAGAUAAAAUCAAUAACUCCAAUCUUAAAUUAAAGAAUUCAAUCCUCUAAUUUUAGGAGAUUGUUCGAUUUCGACUGUUUAUUUUAUGUCUGCUUGAUAGAUUUUAUUAUAAUUUCAAAAAAUAUAAUCUAUCAAGUACUUCUUUGUAUUGAGUUUUCGGCCGUUAGAUAAAAGGAUAUGCGAUUAAAAUAUAAUGGUCUCCGGUUAGAAUGAUAGUAAUCUCUUAGAAUUGAAUGAGUGAUUGGUUGAAUAGUAUAAUCUAACGGACAGAAAUGAUCAAAGGGUACUAACGGACGGAAAUGAUCAAAGGGUAAAUUUAACAGCAGAAAACUUGAUAGUAUCGAGAGCUUGGUGCUAUCCAUAGUAUAGUAGCCGGACUCUCUCUCUCUCUCUCUC
rnacentral:lncRNA from 1 species